rnacentral:rRNA from 1 species
AACGAACGCUGGCGGCAUGCCUAACACAUGCCAGUCGAACGAGACCUUCGGGUCUAGUGGCGCACGGGUGCGUAACGCGUGGGAACCUGCCCUUAGGUUCGGAAUAACUCCCCGAAAGGGGUGCUAAUACCGGAUAAUGUCUUCGGACCAAAGAUUUAUCGCCUUUGGUUGGGCCCGCGUUGGAUUAGCUAGUUGGUAGGGUAAAAGCCUACCAAGGCGACGAUCCAUAGCUGGUCUGAGAGGAUGAUCAGCCACACUGGGACUGAGACACGGCCCAGACUCCUACGGGAGGCAGCAGUGGGGAAUAUUGGACAAUGGGCGAAAGCCUGAUCCAGCAAUGCCGCGUGAGUGAUGAAGGCCUUAGGGUUGUAAAGCUCUUUUACCCGGGAUGAUAAUGACAGUACCGGGAGAAUAAGCUCCGGCUAACUCCGUG